AGAGUUUGAUCAUGGCUCAGGAUGAACGCUAGCGACAGGCGUAACACAUGCAAGUCGAGGGGCAGCGGGGAGUGGCAACACACCGCCGGCGACCGGCGCACGGGUGAGUAACGCGUAUGCAACCUGCCCGCACCAGGGGGAUAACCGGGAGAAAUCCCGUCUAAUACCGCGUAACGCCUCAUGGGGGCAUCCCCAAGAGGCCAAAGGUUUUCCGGGAGCGGAUGGGCAUGCGUGACAUUAGCUAGUUGGCGGGGUAACGGCCCACCAAGGCGACGAUGUCUAGGGGUUCUGAGAGGAAGGUCCCCCACAUUGGUACUGAGACACGGACCAAACUCCUACGGGAGGCAGCAGUGAGGAAUAUUGGUCAAUGGGCGCGAGCCUGAACCAGCCAAGUCGCGUGAGGGAAGACGGCCCUACGGGUUGUAAACUUCUUUUGCCGGGGAGCAACGCUGCGGACGCGUCCGCAGGUGAGAGUACCCGGAGAAAAAGCAUCGGCUAACUCCGUGCCAGCAGCCGCGGUAAUACGGAGGAUGCGAGCGUUAUCCGGAUUUAUUGGGUUUAAAGGGUGCGUAGGCCGGCUGUCAAGUCAGCGGUAAAAAUUCGGGGCUCAACCCCGUAUAGCCGUUGAAACUGGCGGUCUUGAGUAGCGGCGAGGCAUGCGGAAUGCGAGGUGUAGCGGUGAAAUGCAUAGAUAUCACGCAGAACUCCGAUUGCGAAGGCAGCAUGCCAGCCGCCGACUGACGCUGAGGCACGAAAGUGCGGGUAUCGAACAGGAUUAGAUACCCUGGUAGUCCGCACAGUAAACGAUGAAUACUCGCCGUCCGGGACGAAAGAGUCCUGGGUGGCC
rnacentral:rRNA from 1 species